rnacentral:lncRNA from 13 species
AUGCUACUGGGGACCUGGAGACAGGUGACGGGGCUGGGCCUGCUGGAGAGCCUUGGAGAGGCCCUGUGCCAGACCUCAGCUCCCGAAAAGCUGGGGAGUCUAGGUCUCUCCCCAGAAUUACUCAGCUGCCUUCCAGAAGGCCGGGCAGGUGUGCGCUGGGUAAGGCUUUGGACCAGAGAUGCCUUGGGGACCUGGCGUCAGAUCUGGGUGGACAAGGACACCGUGGGGCAGGGAGUGGAGGAGGUGGGGGUGACAGGGCCUGGGUGGGUGCUGGCUGGAUGCUGCCUGUGCUCCACACCCCAACACCACCUAGACCUUCUGUCUCCACCUUCCGAAGCAAGAUGCCCUCUGCCGCCAAGUUACUCCUUCAAAGACAAACUGGAAUCUCGCCUCCUACAGGAAGGCUUCUGUGACUGCUCCAGGAGUCGCUGGUCUCAUGGCACAGGCGUCCUGGCUGGCCACACCACUGUCGGCCUGGGCGGGGGCCUCAUUCAGCCUCAGCGUCUGUGAGUGUGAAACGGGGUGGAGUCUGGCCGGCCCAUUGUGUCCCUGUGGGUGGAGGUCCUGGGAAUGGAGGACUGGAGGCCUGGCCUAGCGGGCUUGGGGUCCGCUGGGACCUCCCCUCCUGCUUCCCUCCUAACUGCAACGACCGUCCCCACUGUCAGGCGCCUGCUACGGCCCAGGGAGGACACAGGUGUCUCCGAGGCUCUGAGCAAGGUGUGGUGAUCACCGCAGCAUGGCUGGGAGUGACAACAUCUGUUAGCGGCGGAGGGGCUGCUCUGCCUGGCUCUGCCAUGAGGCCCUCCCCACCACCAAGGAGGCAGAGCUCGGCGAGGUAGCCCUUCUGCCUCGAAGCCCACAGCCUGGCCCUGGAGGGCCCUGGAGGCCGGGCCGGCCGCUCCCCACAGGGCUGGGGCUUCCGGGUGGUGCUUCACCAUCUGCCUCCAUUCCAGAUUCUGGCGGCUCUGUAGGGGCCUGGGGCCUGGGUUUCUCGGGACACCUGGGGACAACUGCUCCAGUCAGGUACCCAAUGCACUCAGCUCUGUCUUCUGGUGCCCGGGGCGGGGAGAGUGCUUCGGGACAAGGACCGGGAGCCGCAGGACCAGUGCAGAAUUCCUGGCUGCUGGGCCCACCCAUCCUGCCAUGCGUUCCUCUAACCGCUGCCCAGGCUGAGGCCUGAGGUCGGGGGUUUCCCACUGCAGCUUAUCCCCAUGACCAGAUGGUCCCUGGUAUCUGCCUGGGCUGGAUGACCCCAUCCCGUGUCUGCUGAACGUGCUCAGGCAGGCCCUGCGGGGGGUGGGGAAGGAUUUGCCGGAGGCCUGUGGACCUGCCACACGGGUCCAGGACCGGCUCUGGCCUGAGCCCACUGGGCUGCUGGAGGAUCCAGGAAGCGGGUGGCUCCGGGGUGGGGCCAGACCUGGACGAUGAGGCUGCAGCCCCCACUGCCCGACUUAAUUGGAGCCUGAAUUAUUAGAGGGUGCUGGGCCAUCCAUUUUCCCGAUGCAGACUC